rnacentral:rRNA from 1 species
CGCUGGCGGCGUGCUUAACACAUGCAAGUCGAACGGGGAUCACGUGGAAGUCUUCGGGAUGGAAGAUGUGAUUCGAGUGGCGGACGGGUGAGUAACGCGUGAGCAACCUGUCCCAGACAGGGGAAUAACACUUGGAAACAGGUGCUAAUACCGCAUAAGACCACGGGGUCGCAUGGCUCUGGGGGUAAAAGGAGUAAUCCGGUUUGGGGUGGGCUCGCGUCCGAUUAGAUAGUUGGUGAGGUAACGGCCCACCAAGUCGACGAUCGGUAGCCGACCUGAGAGGGUGAUCGGCCACAUUGGAACUGAGAGACGGUCCAAACUCCUACGGGAGGCAGCAGUGGGGAAUAUUGGGCAAUGGGCGAAAGCCUGACCCAGCAACGCCGCGUGAGUGAAGAAGGCUUUCGGGUUGUAAAGCUCUGUUAUGAGGGACGAAGGAAGUGACGGUACCUCAUAAGGAAGCCCCGGCUAACUACGUGCCAGCAGCGGC